CACUGGAGGCAGCGGUUCAUCGAUCUCUUCCUGGAAGAUUUUGUUGUGAAACAAAAAUAAAACGCAUGAAUCGAUCGAUAAACCUCUGCAUCCAGC
rnacentral:pre_miRNA from 9 species